rfam:Trichinella patagoniensis scaffold131s, whole genome shotgun sequence.
CCAACGGCCCUUUUCAGGGCCAACAUAUUUCUUUUUAUUGAAAACG